UUCAAAUGAAGACGACGGCGAAGAAUUUUGGAAACAAUUUCAGAAACGGAGAAGUGGAGAACGAACAUAGAGAGAAGAGAGACUCGUCCAAAUCUUCACAUCAGGUUCUUUACCAGAUUCAUCGCACCUGAUCCAUUAUCCUUGUUACCACAUGCCGCCGACCUUCGCUUUCUCUCGAGGAGAUCCGAUUGCUGUGAGAUGGUGAAAACGAAACAAAGACAGAAUAUUACUCUUAGUCAUCUUUCUGGAUCUUCAAACUUCAUUGUUGGUUUGGAUAUGCACGGAGAUGAUAGUUGGGUGGUGGUAAAGAAGCAGAUAGUCGCAAUCCUAGUGCAUUCUAUGGCGAUACUUCAAAACUCCCCAACCUCCAAUGCUGGACAAAGUCAGCUGCAA